rnacentral:lncRNA from 1 species
UUUCUUCACUUCAAAACUGGAAUACUCUUAAGGAACCUUCAAAAUCAUGUGACUGUAAGGAACCCUAUCUAACUAUCUUGGAAAGAAAGAAAACUUGAGCCUUUAGACUCGCUUGAUUAUGAACAAACUAACUUUAAAACUAGUUAAAAUUUGAGUCAGCUCGGUUCGAUUAUAUAUCCACUGCUGAACUAGUUAUGUGAUUGUUUAUAGCUUCAUGUUUUAUCAAAAUAUCAUUUAUCUCAUCUAACUUGUAUAUAUAUAUAUACCAUAGAAUAAGGACCCACGAGAAGUUAGUAGUCGCCUUUUCUUUGCAUGUGUGACAAAUUGAUGACUUAUGGCUGCAAAUUCCCCAGCUACCCCUCCUUAUUUACCCAAUCACGGGCCUCUCCUACUCUAGAAUCCCAUGUCUCUCAUUCUACCAAUGCCAAUUAUACCAACAAUACCUUUUCCUUUUCUUUUUCUU